rnacentral:rRNA from 1 species
GAACUUAAGCAUAUCAAUAAGCGGAGGAAAAGAAACCAACAGGGAUUACCUCAGUAACGGCGAGUGAAGCGGUAACAGCUCAAAUUUGAAAUCUGGCCUCACGGUCCGAGUUGUAAUUUGUAGAGGAUGCUUCGAGCAUGGUCUGGCCUAAGUUCCUUGGAACAGGACGUCAUAGAGGGUGAGAAUCCCGUAUGCGGCCAGGUGCCUACGCUCAUGUGAAGCUCCUUCGACGAGUCGAGUUGUUUGGGAAUGCAGCUCAAAAUGGGUGGUAAAUUUCAUCUAAAGCUAAAUAUUGGCCAGAGACCGAUAGCGCACAAGUAGAGUGAUCGAAAGAUGAAAAGCACUUUGGAAAGAGAGUUAAACAGUACGUGAAAUUGUUGAAAGGGAAGCGCUUGCAACCAGACUUGCGCGCGGCCGAUCAUCCGGUGUUCUCACCGGUGCACUCGGCCGUGCUCAGGCCAGCAUCGGUUUUGGCGGCUGGAUAAAGGCCCUAGGAAUGUAGCUCCUCUCGGGGAGUGUUAUAGCCUAGGGUGCAAUGCAGCCUGCUGGGACCGAGGACCGCGCUUCGGCUAGGAUGCUGGCGUAAUGGUUGUAAGCGGCCCGUCUUGAAACACGGACCAAGGAGUCUAACAUCUAUGCGAGUGUUUGGGUGUCAAACCCAUACGCGUAAUGAAAGUGAACGGAGGUGAGAACCCUUAAGGGUGCAUCAUCGACCGGUCCUGAAGUUUACGGAAGGAUCUGAGUAAGAGCAUAGCUGUUGGGACCCGAAA